rnacentral:rRNA from 1 species
AGAGUUUGAUCAUGGCUCAGGACGAACGCUGGCGGCGUGCCUAAUACAUGCAAGUCGAGCGGAGUUAUUUUGGAAGCUUGCUUUCAAAAUGACUUAGCGGCGGACGGGUGAGUAACACGUAGGUAACCUGCCUGUAAGACUGGGAUAACUACCGGAAACGGUAGCUAAUACCGGAUAAUUUGUUUCCUCUCAUGAGGAGAUACUGAAAGGCGGAGCAAUCUGCCACUUACAGAUGGGCCUGCGGCGCAUUAGCUAGUUGGUGAGGUAACGGCUCACCAAGGCGACGAUGCGUAGCCGACCUGAGAGGGUGAACGGCCACACUGGGACUGAGACACGGCCCAGACUCCUACGGGAGGCAGCAGUAGGGAAUCUUCCGCAAUGGACGAAAGUCUGACGGAGCAACGCCGCGUGAGUGAUGAAGGUUUUCGGAUCGUAAAGCUUUGCUGCCAGGGAAGAACGCUUGAGAGAGUAACUGCUCUCAAGGUGACGGUACCUGAGAAGAAAGCCCCGGCUAACUACGUGCCAGCAGCCGCGGUA